rnacentral:tRNA from 1 species
GCCGGGGUGGUGAAACUGGUAGACGCGCUGGAUUCAAAAUCCAGUGAGGGCAACCUCGUGCGGGUUCGAGUCCCGCCUCCGGCA